rnacentral:tRNA from 1 species
UGGUGUAUAGCCAAAUAAGGUAAGGCAUUGGCUUUUGAUGCCAUCAUGUAAAGGUUCGAGUCCUUUUACACCAG